AACGAACGCUGGCGGCAUGCCUAACACAUGCAAGUCGAACGAGACCUUCGGGUCUAGUGGCGCACGGGUGCGUAACGCGUGGGAACCUGCCCUUAGGUUCGGAAUAACUCCCCGAAAGGGGUGCUAAUACCGGAUAAUGUCUUCGGACCAAAGAUUUAUCGCCUUUGGAUGGGCCCGCGUUGGAUUAGCUAGUUGGUAGGGUAAAAGCCUACCAAGGCGACGAUCCAUAGCUGGUCUGAGAGGAUGAUCAGCCACACUGGGACUGAGCAACGGCCCAGACCCCACGGGAGGCAGCAGUGGGGAAUAUUGGACAAUGGGCGAAAGCCUGAUCCAGCAAUGCCGCGUGAGUGAUGAAGGCCUUAGGGUUGUAAAGCUCUUUUACCCGGGAUGAUAAUGACAGUACCGGGAGAAUAAGCUCCGGCUAACUCCGUG
rnacentral:rRNA from 1 species